GAACAAUCCAGACACUCGAUGCUACAACCUGGAGGAAAAUAACACACUUGAACAUCUUCAGAUACAAGCUCUUUCAGGGCCACCACUAGCCAAAGCCAGCAGCACAUAAAGCACCGGAUCAACCAAUGUCUAAUCAACAGAUGAUAUUGAAAACUGACUAGUGUGACCAAGAACUGGCCAUUUCCCAUUGGCCAAUGCCACGAGGCCAUGCCAAUUUGAAGGAGACAAAUUUUUCUCAGUCAAGGAAGCUCCUAUAGCAGCUAUCCUCUCAUGGCGGUACUGGCAGGCAAACGGUGUGUGCACACCCCUGGAAGAGAAACGGGAAAGAAGAAUAUGAUCAAGAACAUGAGAAUGUAAUCAGAGAGCAAGACAUGUAGACAACAAUUGGUGGGAGAAGAAAAUGCACAAUGAGAUAGGAAUCGAUGAAAUCAUGCAUAUGGCUAUUGUGACUUGUCCGUAACUCCAAACAAUGGGUAAAUGAAAGCGUGAACCGAUAAAAAUUUAAAAUGUGAAAUGUUUUUGAGAUACCCUGUAGGCCUAUUUACAUGGUCCGAAACUAGAAAUGUCGUAUGUGUAAUCGAAACGUUGGCUAAAUCACACGUUCCGAUUAUAUAUUACUCACC